GUGGGGAAUAUUGGACAAUGGGCGAAAGUCUGAUCCAGCAAUGCCGCGUGAGUGAUGAAGGCCUUAGGGUUGUAAAGCUCUUUUACCAGGGAUGAUAAUGACAGUACCUGGAGAAUAAGCUCCGGCUAACUCCGUGCCAGCAGCCGCGGUAAUACGGAGGGAGCUAGCGUUGUUCGGAAUUACUGGGCGUAAAGCGCACGUAGGCGGUUACUCAAGUCAGAGGUGAAAGCCCGGGGCUCAACCCCGGAACUGCCUUUGAAACUAGGUAACUGGAAUCUUGGAGAGGUCAGUGGAAUUCCGAGUGUAGAGGUGAAAUUCGUAGAUAUUCGGAAGAACACCAGUGGCGAAGGCGACUGACUGGACAAGUAUUGACGCUGAGGUGCGAAAGCGUGGGGAGCAAACAGGAUUAGAAACCCGGGUAGUCC
rnacentral:rRNA from 1 species